UGAUAGGUCUGCCUGAUUUCCGUUAGUUGAGUACGCUAGGAAGCGUGCAUAAGGUCUGUAGGGUGGAUUUUUGCACCUGUGCUAUGGUAGAUUGAUUUAAAUCAAGGUGAUUUAAAUCACCAAGUGGAAAGCCUUGAUGUAAAUCAUCGACUGCAAUCAAUUUUUCUAUUUCUACUUCAGUUAUUUUCUAAAGAAAGGUGCAUUCUCAUUGGUUGAUAUAACCAUUAGAACAUAUUGAUUUGCAACUUAAAUAGAGCCUUCACACUACAUUUGGUACAUCUUUUUCCUAUAUGAGGGUACACUAUAACUAUAUACAUUUAUUUAAGCAAUUAUAUAGCUUAACAUUUUCAGAUUCUUAACAGUUCAUUUUUACUAUAUUACAAAACAUUGAAUGAUAUAUUGCCUAAUUACAAACUUUCAUUAAGGUACUCUGAAAUCCUCUUAAGGUUUCUAUGGAGGGCUGCGUUAUUUCUUCCUCUGUGGUAAGACAUUUUCCCAUGACACUCAGUGAUAACUUCAACCGAUGCCACUGCAGUACACAGGAUAGCAGUAACCCAGCCCAGGCGACUUCAGGACACCAGCAGCAGCUGUGCUCUCACUGCCUUUGUUACCCUCAGGAGUGAGAUUUCUGCUAAAAUCACCACUGCCUCUGGAAAAUGCUGCUGCCAUUGUGGCCUUCAGGGUCUCCCUCUCCACACCUGAGCCAAAUAGGAGGAGAAAGAAGAGGACUCGGGACGACAUGGUCCUAAAAGCCAAUGCUGCAUCUGACUAAGCACAGGGCCUGGAGGAUGGACAUUGUAGACAGUCUGGAGAAGGAAAGAGUGGUGAGGAGAAAGACCCAGGAGUCCGAGCAGGAAAAGGAGAGGCAGACAAACCAGGACAUAAUGGGGCUUCUCAGGCAGAAGCACAGAUGUUGCAGACUCUGGUGGACAUGCAGGUUCAACAAUCCUGGGCUUGCCUUCCUCUGCAACCCAUUGAGAGCUCCACGUCGGGAUCACUCCCCCUAAACCCUCCCCAACAUUCAACAUGGCAUCAGGGGUAGCUGCACAACCCCUACCACUCCACCACAGGGGACAUCAAAGACAAUCACAACUUCAUAUACACUUCCCUGAAAGCCACAGUUGGUGUAUGUGUAGCUGAAAUGAACAUGAAUGUUCUUUCCCCUUCAUAAGUUCUGUUCUAUUAGGUUUUAAAAUGUAUUUGUUCUAAAAUUGCCCUUUUUUGCUCUGAUUUUGUUACAGAAUAAAAUUCUAUUUGGAACAUAA